GAGGAGGGUCCUGAGACAGCAAAAACUGCUAAUUUUUGUACCCACGGCUAAACUCCGUGGCCCCCUCG
rnacentral:tRNA from 1 species